rnacentral:rRNA from 1 species
UUUAAUUGAAGAGUUUGAUCAUGGCUCAGAUUGAACGCUGGCGGCAGGCCUAACACAUGCAAGUCGAGCGGCAGCGGGAAAGUAG